rnacentral:rRNA from 1 species
AUCCAGACUCCUACGGGAGGCAGCAGUGGGGGAUAUUGCACAAUGGGGGGAACCCUGAUGCAGCGACGCCGCGUGGGUGAAGAAGCGCCUCGGCGCGUAAAGCCCUGUCAGCAGGGAAGAAAAUGACGGUACCUGAAGAAGAGGCCCCGGCUAACUACGUGCCAGCAGCCGCGGCAAUACGUAGGGGGCAAGCGUUAUCCGGAUUUACUGGGUGUAAAGGGGGCGCAGACGGCGAUGCAAGCCAGGAGUGAAAGCCCGGGGGCCAACCCCGGGACGGCUCUUGGAACUGCGUGGCUAGAGUGCAGGAGGGGCAGGCGGAAUUCCUGGGGUAGCGGUGAAAUGCGUAGAUAUCAGGAGGAACACCGGUGGCGAAGGCGGCCUGCUGGACUGCAACUGACGUUGAGGCCCGAAAGCGUGGGGAGCAAACAGGAUUAGAUACCCGAGUACAC